UUUUAGCUCAAUGGCUGAGCGUUGGCUUUGAGAGCCCCAGGUCGGUGGUUCGAACCCACCAGGGCACAG
rnacentral:tRNA from 1 species